UGGCUGUCGUCAGCUCGUGUCGUGAGAUGUUCGGGUUAAGUCCCGUAACGAGCGCAACCCUUGUCCUUAGUUACCAGCACGUUAUGGUGGGCACUCUAAGGAGACUGCCGGUGACAAACCGGAGGAAGGUGGGGAUGACGUCAAGUCAUCAUGGCCCUUACGGCCUGGGCUACACACGUGCUACAAUGGUCGGUACAAAGGGUUGCCAAGCCGCGAGGUGGAGCUAAUCCCAUAAAACCGAUCGUAGUCCGGAUCGCAGUCUGCAACUCGACUGCGUGAAGUCGGAAUCGCUAGUAAUCGUGAAUCAGAAUGUCACGGUGAAUACGUUCCCGGGCCUU
rnacentral:rRNA from 1 species